GACGAACGCUGGCGGCAUGCUUAACACAUGCAAGUGGAGCGACGAACCUUUUAGGGGCAAAGCCGCGAACGGGUGAGUAACACGUGGGCAAUCUGCCCAGUUGACUGGAAUAACUCGAGGAAACUCGAGCUAAUACCGAAUGUGCUUGCUUCUCACAAGAGGAGUAAGUAAAGGGAGCUUCGGCUAUCCGCAAUUGGAGGAGCCUGCGGCGCAUUAGCUUGUUGGUGGGGUAACGGCCUACCAAGGCAUCGAUGCGUAGCUGGUCUGAGAGGACGAUCAGCCACACUGGAACUGAGACACGGUCCAGACUCCUACGGGAGGCAGCAGUGGGGAAUCUUGCACAAUGGGCGACAGCCUGAUGCAGCAAUGCCGCGUGAGGGAAGACGGCCU
rnacentral:rRNA from 1 species